GUGAGGAAUAUUGGACAAUGGGCGAAAGCCUGAUCCAGCCAUGCCGCGUGUGUGAAGAAGGUCUUCGGAUUGUAAAGCACUUUAAGUUGGGAGGAAGGGCAGUAAGUUAAUACCUUGCUGUUUUGACGUUACCAACAGAAUAAGCACCGGCUAACUUCGUGCCAGCAGCCGCGGUAAUACGAAGGGUGCAAGCGUUAAUCGGAAUUACUGGGCGUAAAGCGCGCGUAGGUGGUUCAGCAAGUUGAAGGUGAAAUCCCCGGGCUCAACCUGGGAACUGCCUCCAAAACUACUGAGCUAGAGUACGGUAGAGGGUAGUGGAAUUUCCUGUGUAGCGGUGAAAUGCGUAGAUAUAGGAAGGAACACCAGUGGCGAAGGCGACUACCUGGACUGAUACUGACACUGAGGUGCGAAAGCGUGGGGAGCAAACAGGAUUAGAAACCCCGGUAGUCC
rnacentral:rRNA from 1 species